UAGUGUUACAGCUCUUUUAGAAUUUGUCUAGCAGGUUUUCUGGCUUUAACUGGAAAACCCUU
rnacentral:snRNA from 1 species